AGGGGUAGAGCUCAGUGGUAGAACAUGUCCUUAGCAUGUACAAGGUCCUGGGUUCAAUCCCCAGUACCGCCA
rnacentral:tRNA from 1 species